rnacentral:rRNA from 1 species
UUAAGCGACUAAGCGUACACGGUGGAUGCCCUGGCAGUCAGAGGCGAUGAAGGACGUGCUAAUCUGCGAUAAGCGUCGGUGAGGUGAUAUGAACCGUUAUAACCGGCGAUUUCCGAAUGGGGAAACCCAGUGUGAUUCGACACACUAUCAUUAACUGAAUCCAUAGGUUAAUGAGGCGAACCGGGGGAACUGAAACAUCUAAGUACCCCGAGGAAAAGAAAUCAACCGAGAUUCCCCCAGUAGCGGCGAGCGAACGGGGAGGAGCCCAGAGCCUGAAUCAGUGUGUGUGUUAGUGGAAGCGUCUGGAAAGGCGCGCGAUACAGGGUGACAGCCCCGUACACAAAAAUGCACAUGCUGUGAGCUCGAUGAGUAGGGCGGGACACGUGGUAUCCUGUCUGAAUAUGGGGGGACCAUCCUCCAAGGCUAAAUACUCCUGACUGACCGAUAGUGAACCAGUACCGUGAGGGAAAGGCGAAAAGAACCCCGGCGAGGGGAGUGAAAAAGAACCUGAAACCGUGUACGUACAAGCAGUGGGAGCCUCUUAAUGGGGUGACUGCGUACCUUUUGUAUAAUGGGUCAGCGACUUAUAUUCUGUAGCAAGGUUAACCGAAUAGGGGAGCCGAAGGGAAACCGAGUCUUAACUGGGCGUUAAGUUGCAGGGUAUAGACCCGAAACCCGGUGAUCUAGCCAUGGGCAGGUUGAAGGUUGGGUAACACUAACUGGAGGACCGAACCGACUAAUGUUGAAAAAUUAGCGGAUGACUUGUGGCUGGGGGUGAAAGGCCAAUCAAACCGGGAGAUAGCUGGUUCUCCCCGAAAGCUAUUUAGGUAGCGCCUCGUGAAUUCAUCUCCGGGGGUAGAGCACUGUUUCGGCAAGGGGGUCAUCCCGACUUACCAACCCGAUGCAAACUGCGAAUACCGGAGAAUGUUAUCACGGGAGACACACGGCGGGUGCUAACGUCCGUCGUGAAGAGGGAAACAACCCAGACCGCCAGCUAAGGUCCCAAAGUCAUGGUUAAGUGGGAAACGAUGUGGGAAGGCCCAGACAGCCAGGAUGUUGGCUUAGAAGCAGCCAUCAUUUAAAGAAAGCGUAAUAGCUCACUGGUCGAGUCGGCCUGCGCGGAAGAUGUAACGGGGCUAAACCAUGCACCGAAGCUGCGGCAGCGACACUAUGUGUUGUUGGGUAGGGGAGCGUUCUGUAAGCCUGUGAAGGUGGCCUGUGAGGGUUGCUGGAGGUAUCAGAAGUGCGAAUGCUGACAUAAGUAACGAUAAAGCGGGUGAAAAGCCCGCUCGCCGGAAGACCAAGGGUUCCUGUCCAACGUUAAUCGGGGCAGGGUGAGUCGACCCCUAAGGCGAGGCCGAAAGGCGUAGUCGAUGGGAAACAGGUUAAUAUUCCUGUACUUGGUGUUACUGCGAAGGGGGGACGGAGAAGGCUAUGUUGGCCGGGCGACGGUUGUCCCGGUUUAAGCGUGUAGGCUGGUUUUCCAGGCAAAUCCGGAAAAUCAAGGCUGAGGCGUGAUGACGAGGCACUACGGUGCUGAAGCAACAAAUGCCCUGCUUCCAGGAAAAGCCUCUAAGCAUCAGGUAACAUCAAAUCGUACCCCAAACCGACACAGGUGGUCAGGUAGAGAAUACCAAGGCGCUUGAGAGAACUCGGGUGAAGGAACUAGGCAAAAUGGUGCCGUAACUUCGGGAGAAGGCACGCUGAUAUGUAGGUGAAGCGACUUGCUCGUGGAGCUGAAAUCAGUCGAAGAUACCAGCUGGCUGCAACUGUUUAUUAAAAACACAGCACUGUGCAAACACGAAAGUGGACGUAUACGGUGUGACGCCUGCCCGGUGCCGGAAGGUUAAUUGAUGGGGUUAGCGGUAACGCGAAGCUCUUGAUCGAAGCCCCGGUAAACGGCGGCCGUAACUAUAACGGUCCUAAGGUAGCGAAAUUCCUUGUCGGGUAAGUUCCGACCUGCACGAAUGGCGUAAUGAUGGCCAGGCUGUCUCCACCCGAGACUCAGUGAAAUUGAACUCGCUGUGAAGAUGCAGUGUACCCGCGGCAAGACGGAAAGACCCCGUGAACCUUUACUAUAGCUUGACACUGAACAUUGAGCCUUGAUGUGUAGGAUAGGUGGGAGGCUUUGAAGUGUGGACGCCAGUCUGCAUGGAGCCGACCUUGAAAUACCACCCUUUAAUGUUUGAUGUUCUAACGUUGGCCCGUAAUCCGGGUUGCGGACAGUGUCUGGUGGGUAGUUUGACUGGGGCGGUCUCCUCCUAAAGAGUAACGGAGGAGCACGAAGGUUGGCUAAUCCUGGUCGGACAUCAGGAGGUUAGUGCAAUGGCAUAAGCCAGCUUGACUGCGAGCGUGACGGCGCGAGCAGGUGCGAAAGCAGGUCAUAGUGAUCCGGUGGUUCUGAAUGGAAGGGCCAUCGCUCAACGGAUAAAAGGUACUCCGGGGAUAACAGGCUGAUACCGCCCAAGAGUUCAUAUCGACGGCGGUGUUUGGCACCUCGAUGUCGGCUCAUCACAUCCUGGGGCUGAAGUAGGUCCCAAGGGUAUGGCUGUUCGCCAUUUAAAGUGGUACGCGAGCUGGGUUUAGAACGUCGUGAGACAGUUCGGUCCCUAUCUGCCGUGGGCGCUGGAGAACUGAGGGGGGCUGCUCCUAGUACGAGAGGACCGGAGUGGACGCAUCACUGGUGUUCGGGUUGUCAUGCCAAUGGCACUGCCCGGUAGCUAAAUGCGGAAGAGAUAAGUGCUGAAAGCAUCUAAGCACGAAACUUGCCCCGAGAUGAGUUCUCCCUGAGACUUAGAGUCUCCUGAAGGAACGUUGAAGACGACGACGUUGAUAGGCCGGGUGUGUAAGCGCAGCGAUGCGUUGAGCUAACCGGUACUAAUGAACCGUGAGGCUUAACCU